ACAAAGUACACCUGGGGAUCUUAUUAAAAUGUAGAUUCUGAUUUAGAACUUCUGGGCCGGAGUCUGAAAUUCUGCAUUUCUACCAAGCUCCCAGGUGUUGCUGGU
rnacentral:pre_miRNA from 2 species